AACGUAGGUGGCGAGCGUUAUCCGGAUUUACUGGGCGUAAAGCGUGCGCAGGCGGUUAUGUAAGACAGAUGUGAAAUGCCCGGGCUUAACCUGGGAACUGCAUUUGUGACUGCAUGGCUAGAGUUUGGCAGAGGGGGGUGGAAUUCCACGUGUAGCAGUGAAAUGCGUAGAGAUGUGGAGGAACACCGAUGGCGAAGGCAGCCCCCUGGGCUAACACUGACGCUCAUGCACGAAAGCGUGGGGAGCAAACAGG
rnacentral:rRNA from 1 species